UAUUCGUGUGUUCGUAUGAAUGAGUGUAUGUGUGUAUAUAUCAGCGUCUGGGUCUAUACCGUGUUUAAAAAAAAAAGAAAAAAGAAGAACGCACGUGUUUGCGCCGUACAGGAACCAGUUGAGCUUGACCACACUCAGCGAAGGUCAAAACCGCAGGACCCCGCCACGCGUUCGAGCAAAUGCCGCCCCCGCCACCGCUCCGCUCGCCUCCGAGCGGCGGCCCUUACACCGCCGCGCCGCCGUCGCCGUCGCGCGCGGCCGAGCAGCACUGCCUGCGCCUCCUGGAGCGCGCCACGACGCCCAGUUCCCUCCUCCAGCCCCUCGCAUUCCUCCUCAAGCGCGGCCUCCACGCCAACCCGCUGGUCCUCACCAGGCUCUUCGCGGCCGCGGCCUCCGCGGCCCCCGCGCUCCUCGAGCCCCUCGUCGCGGCGCUCCUCCGCCCGGGCCUCCCGCUCGACGCCUUCCUCGUCAACACCCUCAUCCGCGCCCACGUCGCCUCCCCGCUCCCCUCCGCGCGCCGCGCCGCCGCGGCCUUCUUCCCGCUGAUGCUCCGCCGCGGCGUCGCCCCCAACAAGUUCACCUUCCCGUUCCUCCUCAAGUCCUGCGCCGCGACGCCGGGGUCCCCGGCCGCCGGCCUCCAGGCCCACGCCGCCGCCCUCAAGUUCGGGUUCGCCGCGGACCACUACGUCUCCAACACGCUCAUACACAUGUACUCCUGCUUCGGGGCCGGGUUCCUCGGGGACGCGCGGAACGUGUUCGACAGAACGCCCAGGGACAGCGCCGUCACCUGGAGCGCCAUGAUCGGCGGGUACGUGCGUGGGGGGCUGUCGAGUGAUGCCGUCGUGCUGUUCCGGGAGAUGCAGGCCAGCGGAGUGCGGCCGGAUGAGGUGACGGUCCUCGGGAUCCUUUCGGCCGCCGCUGAUUUGGGUGCGCUCGAGCUCACGCGGUGGGUUGAGCGGUUCGUGGCGAGGGAGGGAAUUGGGAGGUCUGUGACGCUGUGCAAUGCGCUGAUCGACACGCUCGCCAAGUGCGGGGAUGUCGAUGGGGCAGUGGCUGUGUUCGAGGGGAUGGAGGAGCGGACUGUUGUGUCAUGGACAUCGGUGAUUGAUGCACUUGCAAUGGAGGGCCGUGGGAAGGAGGCUGUGGGGGUGUUCGAGGAAAUGAAGGCUGUCGGUGUGCCGCCUGAUGAUGUCGCGUUCAUCGGGGUGCUCACUGCAUGUAGCCAUGCUGGAAUGGUUGAUGAAGGCCGUGGCUACUUUGACUCAAUGAAGACAGAGCAUGGUAUUGAGCCUAAGAUCGAGCAUUAUGGUUGUAUGGUCGACAUGUUUGGUCGCGCCGGCAUGGUUGAGCAUGGGUUGGAGUUUGUUCGCGCGAUGCCCAUGAAACCGAACCCAAUAAUUUGGCGGACUCUAGUUGCUGCUUGUCGUGCUCAUGGUCGGCUCGAGCUCAGUGAAAGCAUCAGCAGGGACCUUCUUAAGGAGUACCCUGCUCAUGAGGCCAACUACGUCAUGCUCUCCAACGUGUUCGCGUUGACGCAGAGAUGGAAGGAGAAGUCAGAGAUUAGGAGAGAGAUGAGUAAGAGAGGAAUCACAAAGGUGCCGGGCUGCAGCCUUGUUGAGCUUGAUGGAGAGGUCCAUGAGUUCAUAGCAGGAGAUGAGUCGCAUCCGCAGUACAAGGAGAUAUACAGGAUGGUUGAGGAGAUGUCAAGAGAGCUAAGACGCAUUGGGCAUAUUGCAGCCACAUCAGAGGUCCUCCUUGACCUUGAUGAGGAGGACAAGGAGGGUGCGCUUCAGUGGCACAGUGAGAAGCUGGCAAUUGCAUUCGUGCUCCUGAGGACUCCUCCUGGAACACAGGUCCGGGUGGUAAAAAACCUGCGUGUAUGCUCCGAUUGUCAUGCGGCAAUUAAGUGCAUAUCGCAGGUUUAUAACCGGGAGAUCAUAGUGCGUGACAGGAGUCGUUUCCAUCGCUUCAAGGAUGGUUCCUGCUCGUGCAAGGAUUUCUGGUGAUUGGAAUUGUGUUUCACCAGGUAUCCUGUUUCUGAUGGUGCAGUGAAGAGUGGAUUCAACUUCAACAGCACAUGCAGGGGCAGAUAAAUGCAUGUCUUCUGCUCUCUCAGUGGCCUCUCUGAGUUUCUUUGGCACUAUUCUAAGCCUUUUCUCAACUAUCUCAUUCUCCAUUGCUUCUUCAUUCAUGCAGUGAGUUUGUAACUUACCAUGCAUCUAUGAACUGUCUGCCAUCUCUAUGAUGUUGCUGAUCUCGGCCAAUGCUUUGAAGCUUUCCCUGUUCUUGUACGCCCUUGCCUUCUCAUUAUUGCAGGGAGCUGUUAAGUCAAUCUCAGCCUCCUUGCGCAAGUGAUCGCAUCAUCAUUCACUACAGGGACUACAUGGACAUGCUAGCAGGGAAUACUCAUGUUUGGCUUAAACAUGGGAAGGAAAUUACAACCAGCUGAGGGCUGAAGCAUUCCAUGUCUCCAGCUAGGCUCUCCACAAUAUGCACAAGAAGCAGAGGACUUUGUCAACUUCAAAGUCAUAUUGCGCAGUCUAUUUGCUGGUUCUGAUGGCGGUGAGGGUGACGCGGCCUUGUUCCUAACUUUCUGGAUGGUAUCAGCAAAGUGCGCUAGCAUGAUAGGAUUUGAUGUCUCGCAGUUCUGUGAUGUCAAUGGCUAUGCUGAUCUUAGCCAAGGCUUAGCCUUUGCACAAGCUUAAUCAGUUCCUGGAGCUCUUGAUCAGCCGCUGUUUCAGCCAAGAAAACAUCCACUUUGACAUGAAGCUCCUCUGGUGAUGUCAACACAUGCGGUGAAUCCCCAAACUGGCCUGAUGAUUGGUGGUAACCACACAGCGCCUCCAUUGAGGAUAAGUGAGGCAUCUAGUCUGAGCAAUCCUAUGAACUCCCUGAUGUUCUUCGAUGCCUUUUCAAGUGCUUCCACGGUGCUCCUCAGCUUGUCCUUAGCGCUAGAGAAGAGCGCCACCGAAGUGGUGCCGAUGCAUCAUGCCAUGCUGGAGCACACAUUUCUCGUGAAAUGCAGAGUGGUACUACUAGCACCAUGCUGGUCAUCGUUUUUUCAGUGAGCGGCUUUGUCUGUUGCAUGAUGUUUGAACCUGAGAAGCACCUCGUCACCAUGGGCGGCAGCCUCCUUGAGCUUCUCCCGCCACUGGACUAGCGUGGUACUUUUUAUGAUCUGCUUCGCUCACACCUCGACCGUGCUGUGGAUCCUCAUGAGGAGCAGCUCCAGCCUCUGCAGCUUCUCAUCAGCGGCCAUCUGCCAGUUGAAGUUCUACAGGAACUUGGACACUGCCCUGUCCUGUCACCACGGUGGCCACUGCUGCAGCAUUGGUGGCAACCACUUGUGCCAUGGCUAGCUCUCAAACAAGGCUAAUAUGGAAGACUCGUGUUUGGCUUAACAUGGGGAUGGAAUUGAUGGGGCUAACAGAAUGAAGUCAACCGGCUCAUGGGCCGAAGCAUUCCAUGUCCCCAGCUGCUAGGCUCUAUGGUAUGCACAAAGCCGUGAAAUUCAUCAGUGGCUGUGGCCUGAGUGACGGCGAGGUCCGUCGGCCUUCUGCCACCCAUUGCACAGUUCAACGGUAUUAAUGGCCAUGCAGAUCCUAGCCAAGGCCCUUUAAGCGGGGGUUUGUCAGUUCCUGGAGCUACUGGCCACCUGCUGUUUCAGCCAAGGAAAUAUGCACCUUGAAGCUUAUCUGUUGAUGUCAGCAUGUAUAGGGCGAAUCCUCAAAUUGACCAUGAUGCAUGUGGUAACAACCAUAUAUACAACAUCUUUGCUUGAGGUUCGAGAUGACCUCUUGUUGGAGCAGUAUUGUCCGUCACCUUCUCAAGCGCUUCUACUGUGCUGUUGAGCUUCUUCAUGUUCUCAUCGCUGGAAAAGGGUGACACCACAGUGGUGCAGCGUACUACUGGUGCCAUGCUAGGCUUCGCUGUUCCAGUGAGUGGCUUCUGUGACGCCCGGUGCACGAGGCUUGAAAGGCUUGAAGCUGAGAAGCACCUCGUCGCCAUGGGAGGCAGCCUUCCUUGAGCUUCUCCAGCCAUUGGACCAGCCUGGUGCUCUUGAUCGUGUGCUUCUCCAACAUCUCAAUCUGCGAAUUCUGAUGGGAACAGCUGCCAUCUUCAGGUUGAGCUUCUCCAGGAAUUUGGACAUUGCUGGACUAUAGCGGUGAUGGUACUACCGUCUACCAACCACUUCCUGGGCCAUGGCUAGCACUCAAACAGGGUAAGUCGCUGACCAGAGCCUCUCAUGUCCCGAUAUACAUAAAAUUAAUGUUUCUUUUGACUGUCCAUCUUAACUGAGAUAAAAUUAGAGUCAGCGACACAAACUAGGUAUGCACAUAGUUGGUUUUAUUCACCCUAAGCCAGGUCGUCUAGCACUAAGAAAAGAAGAACAUGGAUUAGACGGACACAACAAUACCUAGCUGCUCAAAUAUUAAACAACCCAAGACUGACAUGUCCAUAUAUAGUAGUUCAUGCAAAACUGCCAUGAAAAAGAUAUUACAUGCAAAACUGCCAUGAAAAAGACAUUACAUGCAAAACUGUAGAUAUAUGCUUCGCUGUCACCACAAGAAACCACCUCGGUGUUACCUGUCAUUCCUGUAAUGGAUGCAACUUAUCUCUGUAUGUAUGUAUGUAUGUAUAUAUGUAUGUAUCUCUGUAUGUAUGACCAAUACUAAUUAAUACUCCUUAACAAUUCCUUCCACUGGAUGGCUGCCCAUUGCGAGAGAAAAUAAUGAUGCAAAGCCUUUGAAGUCCAUUUCCCAUCUUGCUGGCCCUGCCCAAUGUGCCCAUACAAAGUACUCCCUCCGCCCGAAAAU